rnacentral:rRNA from 1 species
UACAGAGGUCUCAAGCGUUGUUCGGAUUCAUUGGGCGUAAAGGGUGCGUAGGCGGCGCGGUAAGUCGGGUGUGAAAUCUCGGAGCUUAACUCCGAAACUGCAUUCGAUACUGCCGUGCUUGAGGACUGGAGAGGAGACUGGAAUUUACGGUGUAGCAGUGAAAUGCGUAGAGAUCGUAAGGAAGACCAGUGGCGAAGGCGGGUCUCUGGACAGUUCCUGACACUGAGGCACGAAGGCCAGGGGAGCAAACAGG